UCCCUUUCAUAUAUACAUAAAACUUAUUAUUUCUGUCCCUGUGGAGAAGUGUGACUAAUACAUCUGGGUUAAUAGGCUUUGUUUUUUAUUUUAUUUUUUCCUUAUUUUCUUUUUGGGUUGAUAGUUUUUUUUUUCUUUUGGUACUUAAAACAUAUUCUAUUGUCUUCUGUUUUUCAUUGUUUCUAGUGAUAAAUCAGCUAUCAUUCUUAUUAUUCUUCUCCAGUAUAUACUUUAUCUCUUUUCCCUGGUUGCUUUUUUGUUUUUUGUUUCUUUUUUUCCUGGUUGCUUUUUUUUUGGAUAUUGAGUUUUGCUCUUGUUGCAGAGAGCCGAGGUCACACCACUGCACUCCAGCCUGGGUGACAGAGCGAGACACCAUCUUAA
rnacentral:lncRNA from 10 species